rnacentral:rRNA from 1 species
GACUCGACGUUGUCUGAGGCGGACUGGUUUAUUUUUUUUUCUUUUGUGUUGCGUUUUGGGUUGAGCAGAGCACUGUUUUGUUGUUGUAUUUUUAUUGAUCUGAUAUUUUUUAUUAUAGUUUAUUUGUACUGUGAGGGGUUUGUAAGGUUGCGCGUGUAAGCAGGCUUAGGUUGUUGUACCUUGUGUAUCAGGGUUUAUUAAUUUUUAUUAUUUAUUUUUGUUUCCCGAUUUCAGAGGAGUUAGGUAUUUGUAUUAGUUACUGUUUCAUUAGUAUUAAUAACAUUUACUUGGUGGUGAUAUGUUAAACGUUUCUGGGGGUAUCUGGUUUCUCAAGAAAUGAAUUUAAUUCACACUUUUUAUUUAGUUUUCAUUUUUAUUUGUUUGGCUUAAUGAUUGGUGAAGGUGUCGGGGGAUAAGCUCUGAUUCUUUUUUAUAAUGUUUAUCGUUUGAUUUAUCUUGUGGGCUUUAUGUUGGCUUUCUAUUUGAGUAUUUUAAAAUUUUAUUUGCUUUAUUUGUGAUUUUUUUUCUGUUUAAUGUUUUUAUUGGGAUGUUUAGUUUAGUUUUUUAUUUAUGGUAUUUUUGAUUGAAUUAGUAUAUUUUAUUUUGUUUUUUUUUCUUUUGUGUUAGGUUUUUCAGAGGAAUUAGGCAAAGUUUUAGUGUUCGCCUGUUUAACAAAAACAUCUCUUCUCGUUGUGUUGAUUUGAAGUAUGACCUGCCCACUGAUGAUAUUGAAGGGCCGCGGUAUUUUGACCGUGCAAAGGUAGCAUAAUCAUUAGUUUUUUAAUUGUGAACUGGUAUGAAUGGUUUGACGAAACAUUGACUGUCUUUGAUUUAGAUUUAUUGAAUUUGUUAUUUGGGUAAAAAUGCCUAGAUUUUUUUAUGGGACGAGAAGACCCUAUAGAGUUUUAUAUGAUGUAUUUCUUUUUUAGUUUGUUUAAGUUAUGUGGGGAUAUAAUUAUAUUUUGUUGGGGUGAUGGGAAGAUAAGUAUAACUCUUCCUCCUAUGUUGUCACUUAUUUGUGUUUUGGUGAUCCUUUAUUAUUGAUUACAAGAUCAAAUUACCUUAGGGAUAACAGCAUAAUCUUUUUUGAGAGUUCUUAUUGACAAAAUGGUUUGUGACCUCGAUGUUGGAUUAAGAUGAAUUUUUGGUGUAGAGGCUUUAUUAUAUUAUUAAUUGGGUCUGUUCGACCUUUAAAAUCUUACAUGAUCUGAGUUCAAACCGGCGUGAGCCAGGUUGGUUUCUAUCUAUAAUUUUCUUUUAUUUCUUAGUACGAGAGGACCGGAUAUUUGGAAUAAUUUUCUUGGGGUGAAUUUUAUUAAUUU